UAGAUAGAUGCUCGCUGGUUUGGGCGCUUAGCUGUUAACUAAGAACUUGUAGGAUCGAGGCCUGCCUAUCUAG
rnacentral:tRNA from 1 species